rnacentral:rRNA from 1 species
AUUCCAGCUCCAAUAGCGUAUAUUAAAAUUGUUGCCGUUAAAAAGCUCGUAGUCGAACUUCGGGCUCUGUCAGCCGGUCCGCCUUCUUGGUGUGUACUUGUUUGACGGAGCCUUACCUCCUGGUGAACGGCGAUGUCCUUUACUGGGUGUCGUCGCAAACCAGGACUUUUACUUUGAAAAAAUUAGAGUGUUCAAAGCAGGCCUUUGCCCGAAUACAUUAGCAUGGAAUAAUAAAAUAGGACGCGCGUUCCCAUUUUGUUGGUUUCUGAGAUCGCCGUAAUGAUUAAUAGGGAUAGUUGGGGGCAUCUGUAUUCCGUCGUCAGAGGUGAAAUUCUUGGAUUGCCGGAAGACAAACUACUGCGAAAGCAUUUGCCAAGGAUGUUUUCAUUG